AGGACCUGGUUUGCAAAUUGUUCUGGAGGCUGUCCCUACACAUCCUUACCCCACCUUUUUGGGAUUUGGGUGAGAGUUUUCUAGCUAAGUAUCAAUCCUGUUCCCUCCUGGGGCUCCCUGUGCCUUCCGACCACCUCUACCUUUAGGCAGUGCUUUGCAGUGGCCCCCAGGGGCCCCACAGGCUCAGCUG